GACGAACGCUGGCGGCGUGCCUAAUACAUGCAAGUCGAGCGGGCAGAAGGGAGCUUGCUCCCGGAUGUUAGCGGCGGACGGGUGAGUAACACGUGGGUAACCUGCCUGUAAGACUGGGAUAACUCCGGGAAACCGGAGCUAAUACCGGAUAGUUCCUUGAACCGCAUGGUUCAAGGAUGAAAGACGGUUUCGGCUGUCACUUACAGAUGGACCCGCGGCGCAUUAGCUAGUUGGUGGGGUAAUGGCUCACAAAGGCGACGAUGCGUAGCCGACCUGAGAGGGUGAUCGGCCACACUGGGACUGAGACACGGCCCAGACUCCUACGGGAGGCAGCAGUAGGGAAUCUUCCGCAAUGGACGAAAGUCUGACGGAGCAACGCCGCGUGAGUGAUGAAGGUUUUCGGAUCGUAAAGCUCUGUUGUUAGGGAAGAACAAGUGCGAGAGUAACUGCUCGCACCUUGACGGUACCUAACCAGAAAGCCACGGCUAACUACGUGCCAGCCGCCGCAGUAAUAC
rnacentral:rRNA from 1 species